GAUUCUGGCUCAGGAUGAACGCUAGCUACAGGCUUAACACAUGCAAGUCGAGGGGCAUCAUGACGAUAGCUUGCUAUUGUUGAUGGCGACCGGCGCACGGGUGAGUAACGCGUAUCCAACCUUCCCCUUAGUAGGGCAUAGCCCGGUGAAAAUCGGAUUAAUACCCUAUGUUGUGUCAUGAGGACAUCUGAAUAACACUAAAGAUUUUAUCGCUAAGGGAUGGGGAUGCGUCCGAUUAGGUAGUCGGCGGGGUAACGGCCCACCGAGCCUUCGAUCGGUAGGGGUUCUGAGAGGAAGGUCCCCCACACUGGUACUGAGACACGGACCAGACUCCUACGGGAGGCAGCAGUGAGGAAUAUUGGUCAAUGGGCGUAAGCCUGAACCAGCCAAGUAAGCGUGCAGGAUGACGGCCCUAUGGGUUGUAAACUGCUUUUAUACGGGGAUAAAGUGAGGGACGUGUCCCUUAUUGUAGGUACCGUAUGAAUAAGGACCGGCUAAUUCCGUGCCAGCCGCCGC
rnacentral:rRNA from 1 species